GACAUGUUUACUCUCAAGUUUUCUUUAGUUCAUGAAACAUAACCUCACUGUAACAUAUUACUGAACAUAUGUAAAUAAAACAACGACAUUCUCUGAUGCACAAAUUACAAAAAGGAGAUAAAGGUAAAAGGAAGAAGGGAAAGUUUUCAACGGAAUGGUGAAUUUGUCAAUAAACAUGACCAUGACUAACAUCUUAAAGAACAAGAACUUGUCUUUUGAGGACAAGCUAUUCAAGAGAAGCAGAAAAGAAUGGCGAAAGAAGAAAGGCCGGCAAGCUCCAACCAUCAUUGACAAAAAGUACAAGAACAUCAAACCACAUAUUUCUUAGUAUAUCAGCUUGGUACAGUGGUAUGGUUGCCCAAACUCCUACUUUGAAACACAGAGACAACAAGAAACAGAAGUAAUAUAGUUCCACAAAUACUUAGUACAAUCGUGGGUCCUAUCCGAGUGAAAGCCAAGUAAUCAAGCCAUUGGAGAAUCAGGAAAGAAAACUACAAAGGCAAUUGAUAACGUUCAAGAUAAAGUAUCAUUCGUUAGAAAAGAGACGGACGUUAAGUCAGAUAUGUCAGACAGUAAUCAUUUACAAAUAGAUCUUCGUCUGACGAUGGCUGGGAAAGAUCAAAUAGAGAAGAAACGAAAAUUGAAGAAACAGAAACAGAAGAAAAAUCGAUAGAAGAUAAAGAAUAAUAUCGAGAAACAAGACAAUGAUGACAAGCUGAAGAAAGCAUUGGAAAAGGGAAAGGAAAAUACAAAGGAAGCAGAUGGUUGAAAAUAGGCAAGGAUAGGAA